AAGAAAAAGUUUAAUUAUUUUAUUUGUUUAAAAAUUAUUUAAUAUAAAUAAAUUUAAAUUUAAGAGUUUUUGUAAUGUUUAAUGAUCAAAUAAUUUUUUUUAUAGAAAAGGAGUAUUGAAAAAGAAAAUUGAAAAAUUUUUUUGUUUAUAGAAAAGUAGUAUUGAUUUUAUGUACCUUUUGUAUCAGGGUUUAUUAAAUAAGGAAUAAAUAUAUUAUGUUCUCGAAUUUAAAGGAGCUAAAUUAUUAUGAUAGUUUUUGUGUUAUAAAAAUUAUAAAUAAUAAUUUAGAAAUGAAACGUUAUUCGUCUUUAAAUAUAUCUAGUUUUUUAAGAAAUAAAUUUAAUUUAUAUAUUAAUUAGUUAAUUUUUUAAUUUUUAAAUAAAUUAAUAGUUAGUAUAAAUAUAUCAAGGGAUAAGCUUUGAUUUAUUAAAAUUAUAAAGGAGAUAAAUUGUAAUUAAUUGUAGAUUUAGAAAUAGUUAUCAAUAAAAAGUUUGUAUUAAUUUAUAAAUUUAAAAAAAAAUAUUUAUUAAAAUUUAAUUUGAGUAUUAAAAUGUAAACUAAAAUUUUAUAGGUUUAGUAAUAAUGAUAAAAUUAGUAUAAUAGAAUUGUUAAAAUAUAAGUAAUUAUGAAAUUAUUUUAAGGAAUUCGGCAAAAAUAAUGUUCACCUGUUUAACAAAAACAUGUCUUUUAGAUUAUAAUUUAAAGUCUAACCUGCCCACUGAAAUUAUUUGAAGGGCCGCGGUAUUUUGACUGUGCAAAGGUAGCAUAAUCAUUAGUCUUUUAAUUGAAGGCUUGUAUGAAUGGUUGGAUGAAACAUUAACUGUCUCAAUUUAAAAAAAGUAGAAUUUAAUUUUUAAGUUAAAAAGCUUAAAUAAAAUUAGAGGACGAGAAGACCCUAUAGAUCUUUAUAUUUAAUAUUUUAUAAUGAAUAUAGAAUAAUAAUUUAUAUUAAUAUAUUAAUUAUUUUAUUGGGGUGAUAGAUAAAUUUAGUAAACUUUAUUUAAUAAAUACAUUAAUUUAUGAAUAUUUGAUCCAUUAAUAGUGAUUAUAAGAUUAAGUUACCUUAGGGAUAACAGCGUAAUUUUUUUAGAGAGUUCAUAUCGAUAAAAAAGUUUGCGACCUCGAUGUUGAAUUAAAGGUUAAUUUUAGGUGUAGAAGUUUAAAAUUUUGGUCUGUUCGACCAUUAAAUCUUUACAUGAUUUGAGUUCAAACCGGCGUGAGCCAGGUUGGUUUCUAUCCUUAAUUAUAUAAAAUAUUUUAGUACGAAAGGACCAAAUAUUUAAAAAAUUUUUUAAAAAUUGAAUAAUAUUAAU
rnacentral:rRNA from 1 species